rnacentral:lncRNA from 1 species
CUCUUCUUACCCAUCCUUCAGAAAUACUUUUCUUAAUUAUUUGGGUUAGUCCGGCAGGGGGAAGAGAAAGGAAUGAAAUAGGCAACAGGAAAGACUUCUCUGAAAUUGGUGCCAGAGUCUUCCCCAGUGCCAUUGGAUGAAUAAUUUCAGGCUAGUUAAGGAAGAAGUCAAGAUGGAGAGAACUCUGCUGUGUUGCCUCCUUUCAUUCUCUGCUUUAUGCUGAAAGAAUUUGAGCAUCCUUCAAAUAUGAGAUUAAAGGAUGAAAAACACAAACUAAAGCUGGAUGGUAAGAGGCAUUCCUGGGAAGUUUUGUUCUUUCUACCCGAAGAAGCUCCACAACCUGCAGUAAGAUGGUGUCCACAGAACUGGGUGGAGUCAUUAAGAUUUUUCUACCCCUCUCCCACUGCCACCCACAUGCUAGCGCUAGCUCCUUUGUGGACCUAAGGUGUGGGGCACAAGCAUUUCUGCAGAGCCUGGGAUCGUGAAUUGAGAAAUUGAGAUUGCAGUGACAAGAACAGAAUCUUGAAGACAUAAUUUCAUAGUAUGUCUUUGGCCAAGUGGAAAAAGAGAGGGAGAAAGGAGUGAAAGCGUAGAAUAAUGCUGAAACUGUAUGCAAAGACUCAACUUCGUUGUCAGAAAUGCUGUGGAUUCAUUGUCCAAUUUGGAGGAGAGUUGGGUGU